AGAGCCUGGGUGUGAACAAGAAUAAAUCCGAAGUGUCAAACCCCCGAGACUUGAGGGUUGGGGUGACUGCAGCCGAGGCCCAACCCCUCCGGACGGGUGGUCUGGGAUUGGAAAAUGCACGACCAAAGACCAUCAAAAGAGACAGAAGAGAGGGCCCUUCUUUUUCCUCUCGUCUCUGUCGACCCAGAGCUGGGAGCAAUGGAGAACAGAUAGAAAAUGUGCUGGUAGAUGGAUAGAUGGACGGAUGGACAGUAAACAACAGGGGAGAUCUCAGAAGCCCGGAGCCCAGGAAGUACCAGUGUGGGGACUUCAGAGGAUAGAACAGAUCCCAAAAUUGGGACUUUGGUCUCAUGCACGCAACUCAGACGAGCCACGCGGCCUGAGGCAGCCGCCUACUGUAGCUUGUAUGCUCAUUAAACGUUUGGUAA